rnacentral:lncRNA from 1 species
AGAAGCUGCUGCUAAAGCAUCAUCAGAAGUGAACCUGGCAAACUUACCUCCCAGCUAUCACAAUGAGACCAACACAGACACGAAGGUUGGAAAUAAUACCAUCCAUGUGCACCGAGAAAUUCACAAGAUAACCAACAACCAGACUGGACAAAUGGUCUUUUCAGAGACAGUUAUCACAUCUGUGGGAGACGAAGAAGGCAGAAGGAGCCACGUAAGUUGUCAUUUCCCCUGUACUUGCACCCCGACACACUCACUUUCAUUUUCAUUCAGUUUGCCAACGGUGACUCAGAUGCAGACCAUGGGCAGGAGGGAGUGGAGUCUCCUGACUCAUUUCUACCGAGAUUCCUCAAUUCCUACAUUUCUGACCAGACAGAUGUAGUCCAGUAAUAGGUUACGCCUCCAUGCACUUGGCAUCAGAAACAACAGAUAAAUUAAAUUGAGUGGUCAUUUGCAUGGCCCAUCUCAGCUUUGAAAGGGGUACAAGCAAGUACCAGACAUGUUGACUGGGACUUUGGUGACAGACCUGGUAUAUCAGGUGGUGAAAUCCCCAGAGCCUCUGGGAUGGCUACCCCUUUUGUAAUCCCACCUCUGGUCAGGCAGUUUGAGAACAAGAACACCUUAUGUGGAGCCCAAUGGCCUAAAGGGAAAAAGGCUGUCCGUCCAUUUCAGGGCUAGGCUCUGGUCCCCUGUGAUUGCUUCUGUUAGUU